UGUGUUGAGGAAGAUAAUGACGGUACUCAACAAGGAAGUGACGGCUAACUACGUGCCAGCAGCCGCGGUAAAACGUAGGUCACAAGCGUUGUCCGGAAUUACUGGGUGUAAAGGGAGCGCAGGCGGGAAGACAAGUUGGAAGUGAAAUCCAUGGGCUCAACCCAUGAACUGCUUUCAAAACUGUUUUUCUUGAGUAGUGCAGAGGUAGGCGGAAUUCCCGGUGUAGCGGUGGAAUGCGUAGAUAUCGGGAGGAACACCAGUGGCGAAGGCGGCCUACUGGGCACCAACUGACGCUGAGGCUCGAAAGUGUGGGUAGCAAACAGGAUUAGAUACCCUGGUAGUCCACACCGUAAACGAUGAUUACUAGGUGUUGGAGGAUUGACCCCUUCAGUGCCGCAGUUAACACAAUAAGUAAUCCACCUGGGGAGUACGACCGCAAGGUUGAAACUCAAAGGAAUUGACGGGGGCCCGCACAAGCAGUGGAGUAUGUGGUUUAAUUCGACGCAACGCGAAGAACCUUACCAAGUCUUGACAUCCUGCGACGAAGAUAGAAAUAUGUCUUUCCUUCGGGACGCAGAGACAGGUGGUGCAUGGUUGUCGUCAGCUCGUGUCGUGAGAUGUUGGGUUAGUCCCGCAACGAGCGCAACCCUUAUGGUCAGUUACUACGCAAGAGGACUCUGGCCAGACUGCCGUUGACAAA
rnacentral:rRNA from 1 species